UACACGACGACCUCCCGAGUCCUCUGUGCUCGCCGCUCCGCUCGUUCUCCCUCAGUCGCCACCUCUCAUCGCCCGGAGGACCGGGAGCGACGGAAAACACAGCUCAGGAAGAGAAAGGACCUGAAGAUGAAGGACGUUUUUUCUGGGCAGAAGAAAGAAGAGUUUGAAGGCUUCGCACACACAAGGCGACGAUAGAUAGCAAGGGGAACACUAGCACGUUGUCAUGGUCGUGAUGAGCAUCGAACCUGCGGCUUUGGAAGGAGGAGAACAUGGACCGCUGGUCUCCUGGGGUGGUUCUGUUUUGUAAACUAGGGUGAGUAUUCUUCCUGCCCCCAUCACCUGUCAGGGACUUUUAUUUUUUAUCUUACAUCUCUGGAGAACUUUCCACAGGCUAGUGUGAAGUCCCACGGGUUCAGUAGGGCCAGGGUCAUAAUCUUUGGAAUAAAAUGGUCCUGUCAGUGGAAAUUUACAAUAAGUACCUUCUGAAAGCCAACCAGUUUCUGGCCAGAGCAAAACCCAAUAAAAGUCAAUAAUACCGUUUAAGUGAAAUGGCUUAUACAAU
rnacentral:lncRNA from 1 species